rnacentral:rRNA from 1 species
UACGUAGGAUGCAAGCGUUGUCCGGAAUUAUUGGGCGUAAAGAGCGCGCAGGCGGUAUGACAAGUCAGAUGUGAAAGAGGCCGGCUUAACCGGCAAGGGUCAUUUGAAACUGUCAGACUAGAGUGCAGCAGAGGAUAGUGGAAUUCCCGGUGUAGUGGUGAAAUGCGUAGAGAUCCGGAAGAACACCGGUGGCGAAGGCGGCCUGCUGGGCAGUAGCUGACGCUGAUGCGCGACAGCGUGGGGAGCAAACAGG